UCCCUCACUCCAUUGCAAUAAAACCCUAGGAGCAGUACCCAAAUGAGGCUCGAAGUGAGGAUUCCAUUUUUCCAAAAUUGUAAUGUAUCCACUUCGCGAGAGAUACAGACUUUUCUGAUUCGCUGGGCGUCUCUCAUCUGUAUCUCUUCAAUCAAUUCAAUUGCCGAGGUUUCUUGGUUUUCAAUUCUUCAACGGAAAAGGGGGAAGUUUCAAUCUUGAGUCGCCAUGUCUAAGAGGGUCCUUUGCAAGUUCUUUGCCAAUGGAGCAUGUCUGAAAGGGGAUAAUUGUGAGUUUUCUCAUGAUUGGAAGGCUCCACCAAAUAAUAUUUGCACCUACUAUCAGAAAGGAAUGUGUGCCUAUGGUAGUCGAUGCAGAUAUGAACAUGUUAAAGCUUCUCGGUCGGAGUCAGCAGCAUCAUCUUCGUCAGAAAAUCCUCGCCCAUCUCUAAUCUCAAAUUUCAAUCCUGAUUUUCUUCCUCCAAAAACUGCAUCAAGUGAGGUAACUACACUUCCAAGUGCUCCUGCGGUGACUAAAGCUUUUGCUCCCAGCACUAAACCAGCUUGGGAUUCAGAUCCUACUCAGCACACUAUUUUGGACAAUGGUGAUGUUCUGGAACCCAGGAGUGUAAAUCCAGUUGAUCAUCCUCUCUGUUCAUUUGCCGCAGCUGGUAACUGUCCUCGUGGCGAUACGUGUCCGCAUAUUCAUGGGGACUUAUGUCUCACCUGUGGAAAGCAUUGUUUGCACCCUUUUCGACCUGAAGAAAGAGAGCAGCAUAAGAGAACAUGUGAGAAAAAACAGAAACACCUAUUGGCACUAAAACAUAGUCAAGAAAUUGAGUGCAGUGUGUGUCUGGAGCGUGUACUCUCAAAGCCCACAGUAGCUGAAAGAAAGUUUGGGGUACUAUCAGAAUGUGAUCAUCCAUUCUGUAUAUCAUGCAUCAGGAAUUGGCGUAGUACCUCUCCUAGCUCUGGAGUGGAUGUUAAUUCUGCACUGAGGACAUGCCCAAUAUGCCGUAAGCUGUCAUACUUUGUCAUUCCCAGUGUCAUUUGGUACUCAACGCAAGAAGAGAAACAGGAAAUUGUUGAUAGCUACAAGGAAAAACUCAGCUCGAUUGAUUGCAAACACUUCAACUUUGGGAACGGGAAUUGCCCAUUUGGGACUAGUUGUUUCUACAAGCAUGCGUUUCGAGAUGGCCGUUUGGAGGAAGUAGUUCUGCGUCAUCUUGGGGCAGAAGAUGGACUCACUGUGAUAGCUAAAGAUAUUAGGCUGUCAGACUUCCUGGGUGACCUAACUAUAAGGUGAAAGCUACUGCUCCUAUAGUUUGAGUGAUGCCUACUAGUAUCAAUAUAUUUUCAACGUCAUUGUGAGAGUUCUUCAAAUUGCUAGUUUCACACAACAGUUUUUUAUCUGGAUUUCUUGCUGGAUUUGUGACGGAAUUGUGGAAUGAUACUGGCCUAUUGGGUGAUCAAAUAUACUGGUUAUAGUAACUGAAAUAAAUAUUUACGGAAAGCGUUGAAAGGAGUUUAUAAUUUUAGGGUUGUCAUAAAUCAUGAGCUUCCCAGGACAAUGAAAUGUAAAUAAUGAUAUGUUGGCAUAGCUGUGGAAUCCGUCUCCUGUGUGCUUGCUAAUGCUAUGAUUGAACUACAUGAUCAUGGUAUAGAGUAUCACUUCCAAGGAAAUGUUUUGGUUUUGGUUUUUGGACCUGUGAUGAUCAAUCUUGCGUCUCUGGAUUCUAUUUUGGCAUAGAUGAAGAAAAAUGGUGAAAUUUUUAUUUUAAGGAAUUGACUAUUGAUUUCUUAUCAUAAUUACAGGGCUGUUUGAUUCAAUA